rnacentral:rRNA from 1 species
GUGUCAGCCGCCGCGGUAAUACGUAGGGGGCAAGCGUUGUCCGGAAUGACUGGGCGUAAAGCGCGCGCAGGCGGUCUUUCGCGUCUGGGGUGAAAGGUCAGGGCUCAACCCUGACAUGGCCUUGGAAACGGGGAGACUUGAGGGUCGGAGAGGUCAGGGGAAUUCCACGUGUAGCGGUGAAAUGCGUAGAUAUGUGGAGGAAUACCAGUGGCGAAGGCGCCUGACUGGACGAAACCUGACGCUGAGGCGCGAAGGCGUGGGGAGCAAACAGGAUUAGAAACCCCGGUAGUCC